UUUGAUCCUGGCUCAGGAUGAACGCUGGCGGCGUGCCUAAUACAUGCAAGUCGAGCGCCCCUUUAAGAGGUGAUAAUCAUUUGAUUGUCAGUUCCUAUGGGGAGCGGCGGACGGCUGAGUAACGCGUGGGAACGUGCCCCAAAGUGAGGGAUAAGCACCGGAAACGGUGUCUAAUACCGCAUAUGAUCUUCGGAUUAAAGCUUUAUGCGCUUUGGGAGCGGCCUGCGUCCGAUUAGAUUGUUGGUGAGGUAAAGGCUCACCAAGUCGACGAUCGGUAGCUGGUCUGAGAGGAUGACCAGCCAGACUGGAACUGAGACACGGUCCAGACUCCUACGGGAGGCAGCAGUAAGGAAUCUUCCACAAUGGGGGCAACCCUGAUGGAGCAACGCCGCGUGCAGGAUGAAGGCCCUCGGGUCGUAAACUGCUUUUAUGAGUGAAGAAUAUGACGGUAACUCAUGAAUAAGGGUCGGCUAACUACGUGCCAGCAGCCGCGGUCAUACGUAGGACCCAAGCGUUAUCCGGAGUGACUGGGCGUAAAGAGUUGCGUAGGUGGUCAGUAAAGCGAAUAGUGAAAUCUGGGGGCUCAACCUCACAGGCUAUUAUUCGAACUCACUGACUCGAGAGUGAUAGAGGUAACUGGAAUUUCUGAAGUAGGGGUAAUAUCCGUAGAUAUCAGAAGGAACACCAAUGGCGUAGGCAGGUUACUGGAUCAUUUCUGACACUGAGGCACGAAAGCGUGGGGAGCGAACCGGAUUAGAUACCCGGGUAGUCCACGCCGUAAACGAUGGAUACUAGCUGUUGGAGGUAUCGACCCCUUCAGUAGCGAAGCUAACGCGUUAAGUAUCCCGCCUGUGGAGUACGGUCGCAAGACUAAAACAUAAAGGAAUUGACGGGGACCCGCACAAGCGGUGGAUUAUGUUCUUUAAUUCGAUGCUAACCGAAGAACCUUACCAGGGUUUGACAUCCCGAGAAUUACUACGAAAGUAGUGAGUGCUUUAUUGAACUCGGUGACAGAUGUUGCAUGGCCGUCGUCAGCUCGUGUCGUGAGAUGUUUGGUUAAGUCCAUCAACGAGCGCAACCCUU
rnacentral:rRNA from 1 species